rnacentral:rRNA from 2 species
UACGUAGGUGGCAAGCGUUGUCCGGAUUCACUGGGUGUAAAGGGUGCGCAGGCGGAUUGGCAAGUCAGAGGUGAAAUCUCACGGCUUAACCGUGAAACUGCCUUUGAUACUGCUAAUCUUGAGUUAGGGAGAGGUUGAUGGAAUUCCAGGUGUAGCGGUGAAAUGCGUAGAUAUCUGGAAGAACACCAGUGGCGAAGGCGGUCAACUGGCCCUUAACUGACGCUCAUGCACGAAAGCGUGGGUAGCGAACAGG